rnacentral:misc_RNA from 1 species
GAAAUGCGAUAACUAGUGUGAAUUGCAGAAUUCCGUGAAUCAUCGAGUCUUUGAACGCACAUUGCGCCCCCUGGUAUUCCGGGGGGCAUGCCUGUCCGAGCGUCAUUGCUGCCCAUCAAGCACGGCUUGUGUGUUGGGUCGUCGUCCCCUCUCCGGGGGGGACGGGCCACAAAGGCAGCGGCGGCACCGCGUCCGAUCCUCGAGCGUAUGGGGCUUUGUCACCCGCUCUGUAGGCCCGGCCGGCGCUUGCCGAACGAAAAUCAAUCUUUUUCCAGGUUGACCUCGGAUCAGGUAGGGAUACCCGCUGAACUUAAGC